GAAAGGCUGCAAAUGGAGAAUGACUUUAGUACACCAAAUGGUUUGAAGGAAUCUGGCUGCUGCUGAGCCAAGUUUCCACAGCACCCCAACCAGGAUGGUGGGAAGAGGUUGUUCAGAUGUGUGGUCGCCAAUUAGUCCGAGAAGUCAUCAACGUUUGUGGCCAUGUGACCUGGAACAGGCCAGUGAGAUAUCCCCAUCAGAGAUCUGCAGGAUACCAGCAAAAAUUGAGCUUCCAGUUGAAUCCACCAUAGGUCAUAUCAGAGCUUGCCAUGUGUUCAAAAGUAUCAUCAGUGAUCACGUCAAUUAUAGGACAUAUCACUGUUCUCCUGUCAUGUUUGAUCCUUGCUAAGAGAGGCUCCAACCACCUAACUGUGCACUGGUGAUGAACAUCUAAGAAGGUGA
rnacentral:lncRNA from 1 species